UUAGAGUUUUGAUCCUGGCUCAGGAUGAACGCUGGCGGCGUGCCUAAUACAUGCAAGUCGAGCGAACAGAUAAGGAGCUUGCUCCUUUGACGUUAGCGGCGGACGGGUGAGUAACACGUGGGUAACCUACCUAUAAGACUGGGAUAACUUCGGGAAACCGGAGCUAAUACCGGAUAACAUUUGGAACCGCAUGGUUCUAAAGUGAAAGAUGGUUUUGCUAUCACUUAUAGAUGGACCCGCGCCGUAUUAGCUAGUUGGUAAGGUAACGGCUUACCAAGGCNACGAUACGUAGCCGACCUGAGAGGGUGAUCGGCCACACUGGAACUGAGACACGGUCCAGACUCCUACGGGAGGCAGCAGUAGGGAAUCUUCCGCAAUGGGCGAAAGCCUGACGGAGCAACGCCGCGUGAGUGAUGAAGGGUUUCGGCUCGUAAAAACUCUGUUAUUAGGGAAGAACCAA
rnacentral:rRNA from 1 species